rnacentral:rRNA from 1 species
GAUGAACGCUGGCGGCGUGCCUAAUACAUGCAAGUCGAGCGAACGGACGAGAAGCUUGCUUCUCUGAUGUUAGCGGCGGACGGGUGAGUAACACGUGGAUAACCUACCUAUAAGACUGGGAUAACUUCGGGAAACCGGAGCUAAUACCGGAUAAUAUUUUGAACCGCAUGGUUCAAAAGUGAAAGACGGUCUUGCUGUCACUUAUAGAUGGAUCCGCGCUGCAUUAGCUAGUUGGUAAGGUAACGGCUUACCAAGGCAACGAUGCAUAGCCGACCUGAGAGGGUGAUCGGCCACACUGGAACUGAGACGCGGUCCAGACUCCUACGGGAGGCAGCAGUAGGGAAUCGUCCGCAAUGGGCGAGAGCCUGACGGAGCAACGCCGCGUGAGUGAUGAAGGUCUUCGGAUCGUAAAACUCUGUUAUUAGGGAAGAACAUAUGUGUAAGUAACUGUGCACAUCUUGACGGUACCUAAUCAGAAAGCCACGGCUAACUACGUG